rnacentral:tRNA from 1 species
CAGUGUGUAGUUUAAAUAAAAAUGUUGGUUUUGGGAAUCAAUGUUCUCUUUUAGAGCUCUCUGA